AAAACAGUCAUUGUCAAAUAUAUAACCUCUAGGUUGGAGUAGAAUCCAACAGAGAAUACGAUGAGAAGCAUAUCCUACUCGUUCAUGUAAUUACUUUACUAGGGUCUCUAUUCCUAAGGUAACCAAGGUUUUAGUUUUUAGGAUUGAUUUUGAAAUUUUGAUCACUAGCAAUCUAUCUAUAUAGAAUGGGAGAGGCAAAAGCAUGAUAUGAUGACAAGUGUCAUCACCAGAAAAUUCGUAUUUAAUAAAUAAAAUAAAAUAAAAAAGUCACAAAAAAAAGAGAAGAAAAGAAAAGACAAAAACAGAAAAAACAAUUCUUUAAGAAAAACUAACUGAGGAGGUCUAAUACCCCCCAUUCCCCGGCCAGAAAAUUUGAAAUAAAAAAUACAAAUUAUAUAUUAAAAAAACACAGAAUUAGGAGCAUUCAAAUUUAAUUUCAAAAAACAUGUAGAAUCUAAAAGCUAAGUAACCAACUAAAUCAUUAGUAUUUGUUUUUAAAUAAUAAUAAAUAAUAAAUAAAUUAAAAGAUAAAGGAUACCAACUUCCCAAUAAACUCCCACGUCUCAUUAACUAUUUCGAAAUCCUCAGCAAACCGUUUCAAAUCAAAAUCUCAAUUACAUACAAUGGCAUAAAAAUAGAGUAAAAUCAACAAAUGAGGAAAAUUCACCCCAACACCCGUAUCAAAUGAACCGCAAAUCCAGUUGCACUCAAGGCAUAGAAGAAAUGACCAUGAGAGGACUUUUACCGUCUGUGAGAAAUAUUUGAAGGGUUCAAUGGACGCAAGAAGCCGUUGGAGUGUAUCAGUACUUUCUCAAAUUAUGGGUGAUAGGUGCCAAAAGAAAUAAGAGAUGCUAAUUUCUUCGUCUUUGGGGUGCUCCAAAACGUCUCCUUGAAGUUGUGGUUUUUGGUAUACAAGGAUUGGCUACUAGACUGAUGAAAACAACUCUUGCCAAGUGCUAAUAAAUCAGAUGUGGUCGUGAUGUAAUUUCAGAUGCAAACAUUUUAUAUAUUUUCUUGAUAUUGUGUGCAUAAUAUUAGAAUGGUUCUACUAGACAAUGUACUAAGGUUCUUUUGCACAUAUAUUAUGGAUAAAUGAUCCUAUUAGAUAGUGUAUAUAGAAGAGCUUUAAUGAAGCUUUAUCAUGUCUGUCAUCUUCUGCAAAUAGAUAGUCGAUAAAACUUUCACAGUA